ACGUGAAUUGGCGGCUCUAACGACAUCGUAGCGAUUCACGGUUGCAUAGUGUUACUAGAAGGGUAAGAGGCUGAAAUAGCACAUAUACAGGUGGCGAAGAUAGUGCCUGUGCCUCGCAAGACUGUCGGGU
rnacentral:ncRNA from 1 species